GACAGAGGGUGCAAACGUUGUUCGGAAUUACUGGGCGUAAAGCGCGUGUAGGCAGCUCUGCAAGUCGGACGUGAAAUCCCUCGGCUCAACCGGGGAACUGCGUCCGAUACUGGUUGGCUUGAAUUCGGGAGAGGGAUGCGGAAUUCCAGGUGUAGCGGUGAAAUGCGUAGAUAUCUGGAGGAACACCGGUGGCGAAGGCGGCAUCCUGGACCGAGAUUGACGCUGAUGCGCGAAAGCCAGGGGAGCAAACGGG
rnacentral:rRNA from 1 species